GUGUGUGUGAAGGGUUUUGUUCCAGCCCGGCUCUAACACCUGACUUAAAUGAUCAACAUGACGAAUCACAGCGAUAGGCUAUGAUUUGUAAUCAGACAUCAGCUGGGCUGGAACAAAAACUUAUACACCCUCUUAAGUCAUUAUUCAGUACGGGUACAAUCGGGGAGGGGGGUUCAAUUUCCCGGUAUUGAUAUAUAACGCAUACUCCACCCUCAAGUCAACUUGUUGACUAAUGCCAACGCGGCGGCUGCUAAGAAGAUGGUAGCAGCUGCCGACCAGAAGAUUACAGUCAAGGCAGCACUGGUCCACACCUGCCCUGUCUAUUGGGAAAUUAGUAUUGGUUGGUACUGUAUGUGCCUUUAGGUUCCUCUCCGUGUGUAUGCUGUUGUACUGACCUGUGUGGUGCAGUCUUUCAUAUGUGUAGUAGUGUGGCAUCAAAUUGCUUGGUUUAUCAUUUGUGUCGACUUUGAAUUCAAUCUAAACCACAGAUUAACUUCCUCCAUUUUGUCUUUCACCUUUUUAUAGACGCAGACCUGAAGACAUUCAAGCAGCACUUUGAGAACAAGCAUCCCAAGUCUCCAAAGGCCCCGUACUGACGCAAAUUGACCACGAUUUGAAAUCUGCAACUGAGACAGAAUGAUGUCGAGGGACCCGCUGAGACCCCAUGUGUAACUGGACCUGGGCCGGAUAUUUGUGGCAACAACCUAUAAGGGAUGCAGAAGCACACCAGCACCCAAUUUUAUAUUUAUUCCAUGGCCAACCAUCCCUCUAGCAACCCCUUAUUCCACACUGCCUUUUAUGCCCCAUGGUCCCUCAACUUUAGAACUCUCCAUCUCAUCUACCUUCAUCCAUUUUCCCUAUGCUGCUUCCUUCACUCCUCCUGAUUUGAUAACAUCUAGACUCAGUAACACGUUUAAAAGUGUUGUUGUACUGUUUUUGCCAGCUUUUUUUUACUCUGGUGAUGCUGUCUUCCUGCUUAUUCUGAGGUUCAGAUUGAAUGCAGUGGUAAAUGUGCUGCUCACAAUUGAUAGCAGCAACAUUGACUUGUUAAAUUGACAAGAAAGCUGUUGAUAUAGUUGCGUUUCGGCAUGUCUUCCUUUUUUGAGUGUGUUUCUCAUUCUGCUGGAGUUGACCUAGUAUUUAUAUUAAACCUGCCUUAUGCAUUCA